rnacentral:rRNA from 1 species
AGAGUUUGAUCAUGGCUCAGGAUGAACGCUGGCGGCGUGCCUAAUACAUGCAAGUCGAACGAGGUGCUUUUGUAGCAAUACGAGAGUAUCCUAGUGGCGAACGGGUGAGUAACGCGUUGGUGACCUACCCCAAAGUGUGGGAUAACAGUCCGAAAGGAUUGCUAAUACCGCAUGUGGUCAUUGGCUCUAGAAACUGAUGACUAAAGGAGCAAUUCGCUUUGGGAGGGACCUGCGUCCCAUCAGCUAGUUGGUGAGGUAACGGCUCACCAAGGCGACGACGGGUAGGGGACCUGAGAGGGUGGCCCCCCACAAUGGAACUGAAACACGGUCCAUACACCUACGGGUGGCAGCAGUAGGGAAUAUUGCACAAUGGGCGAAAGCCUGAUGCAGCAACGCCGCGUGCACGAUGAAGGCCUUCGGGUCGUAAAGUGCUUUUCUGAGAGAUGAGAAAGGACAGUAUCUCAGGAAUAAGUCUCGGCUAACUACGUGCCAGCAGCCGCGGUAAAACGUAGGAGGCGAGCGUUAUCCGGAUUCACUGGGCGUAAAGCGCGUGCAGGUGGCUUGGUAAGUUAGGCGUGAAAUCUCCCGGCUCAACUGGGAGAGGUCGUCUAAUACUACCGGGCUAGAGAGCAGAAGAGGAAGAUGGAAUUCCCGGUGUAGUGGUGAAAUGCGUAGAUAUCGGGAGGAACACCAGUGGCGAAGGCGAUCUUCUGGUCUGUUUCUGACACUCAGACGCGACAGCUAGGGUAGUAAACGGGAUUAGAGACCCCGGUAAUCCUAGCCGUAAACGAUGUGAACUUGGCGUUGGUGGGUUAAACUCCAUCAGUGCCGCAGCAAACGCGAUAAGUUCACCGCCUGGGGACUACGGCCGCAAGGUUAAAACUCAAAUGAAUUGACGG